rnacentral:tRNA from 1 species
CGGCGGGUAGCUCAACUGGAUAGAGCACUCGUGGGCACGAAGUGACUCUCUGGGUGUGACAACGCAGGGAUAAGCCACGUGAGGUUCUGGGUUCAAGUCCCAGUCCGCCGUCCA